AGCCUAUUAGCUCAAAUGGUAGAGAAAUGUUUCACGUACAUAUAUGUAGGUUCGAGUCCUAUAUAGGCUG
rnacentral:tRNA from 1 species